rnacentral:lncRNA from 1 species
AGGAUGUUGUAGCUAUAUAAAUCCAAGUUGUUUAUAAAACAACCAAGUCUUGUUCUUCUACAUAACCAGUAUUCUCUCUUGAAAUCAGAGUCCUGGAGUUUUCCAGCUGUAGCCUGCCUAGGCUAUAUGCCUAUGAUAGAUAUCAACACAGGGUUAGGACCGUAACCACGAGAGGACUUGAAAAUGAGCCGGAGCAGAGAGGAUCACCAAAACUAAAGAGCAUAUAAACAUGCCGACAACCAUCUGUGGAGAUCAGUGGACAAAGGGCUGGACAACGGACCGGAUCCGAAAAAACGCAUGGUUGCCAAGAAAACGGCCACUGUAAUCGAUGGGGGCUCUUGGCGGUACCAUUCUGCUCAUCUGAUGAAGGAGCACAUGGAUCAGAUUAAAACUUUGUAGACUGAGAUCAAGUCCUUGAAGGCAGACCAGCAGAACAGAAACAUUAUUGGAGGGCAGAGAUAUGGGCGACAGCUGAUGCAUUAGUCCAGAGCCAGGCGGCAUUGGUGGAGAGUCAGGUGGAGAAUGACGCGUUGAAGAGGGCGAGGAACGAGAUGGAGUCACAAUCCAUGCCAGGCACACCUGUGAGCUCUGGAACUCUACCUCCGACAGGCAGAGUCAACAUACCUGGUGGGUUCAUUAGGUCGUCGUUUCAACCUGACAUUUCCAUUCCUCUUCUGACAACAGAACUUGACCAACUGCUCACCAGAUACAGCAAGGGCCGUCCGGACCAUUAUGCUGUUCUGCUAUAGCACAAUAAACAAAUGCAGCUGGCUUAUAUCUUCAAAAAUAUUUUAAUGCUUUAUUAUCCAAAUGUAAAAGCAUAUACUGUACAGUACUGUAUUUCUUCAUCAG